rnacentral:rRNA from 1 species
CUCAGUUCGGAUUGGAGUCUGCAACCCGACUCCAUGAAGCUGGAUUCGCUAGUAAUCGCGCAUCAGCCACGGCGCGGUGAAUACGUUCCCGGGCCUUGUACACACCGCCCGUCAAGCCAUGGGAGCCGGGGGUGCCUGAAGUCCGUGACCGCGAGGGUCGGCCUAGGGUGAAACCGGUGAUUGGGGCUAAGUCGUAACAAGGUACC